rnacentral:rRNA from 1 species
AUGAACGCUGGCGGCGUGCCUAAUACAUGCAAGUCGAGCGAACAGACGAGGAGCUUGCUCCUCUGACGUUAGCGGCGGACGGGUGAGUAACACGCGGAUAACCUACCUAUAAGACUGGGAUAACUUCGGGAAACCGGAGCUAAUACCGGAUAAUAUAUUGAACCGCAUGGUUCAAUAGUGAAAGACGGUUUUGCUGUCACUUAUAGAUGGAUCCGCGCCGCAUUAGCUAGUUGGUAAGGUAACGGCUUACCAAGGCAACGAUGCGUAGCCGACCUGAGAGGGUGAUCGGCCACACUGGAACUGAGACACGUUCCAGACUCCUACGGGAGGCAGCAGUAGGGAAUCUUCCGCAAUGGGCGAAAGCCUGACGGAGCAACGCCGCGUGAGUGAUGAAGGUCUUCGGAUCGUAAAACUCUGUUAUUAGGGAAGAACAAAUGUGUAAGUAACUAUGCACGUCUUGACGGUACCUAAUCAGAAAGCCACGGCUAACUACGUG